rnacentral:rRNA from 1 species
AGUGAACGCUGGCGGUAGGCCUAACACAUGCAAGUCGAACGGCAGCACAGGAGAGCUUGCUCUCUGGGUGGCGAGUGGCGGACGGGUGAGGAAUACAUCGGAAUCUACCUUGUCGUGGGGGAUAACGUAGGGAAACUUACGCUAAUACCGCAUCAGACCUUCGGGUGAAAGUGGGGGACCGCAAGGCCUCACGCGAUUAGAUGAGCCGGUGUCGGAUUAGCUAGUUGGCGGGGUAAAAGCCCACCAAGGCGACGAUCCGUAGCUGGUCUGAGAGGAUGAUCAGCCACACUGGAACUGAGACACGGUCCAGACUCCUACGGGAGGCAGCAGUGGGGAAUAUUGGACAAUGGGCGCAAGCCUGAUCCAGCCAUACCGCGUGGGUGAAGAAGGCCUUCGGGUUGUAAAGCCCUUUUGUUGGGAAAGAAAUCUUGCCGGUUAAUACCUGGCGAGGAUGACGGUACCCAAAGAAUAAGCACCGGCUAACUUCGUGCCAGCCGCCGCGGUAAUAC